rnacentral:rRNA from 1 species
UACAGAGGGUGCGAGCGUUAAUCGGAAUUACUGGGCGUAAAGCGUGCGUAGACGGUUAUUUAAGUCGGGUGUGAAAGCCCCGGGCUCAACCUGGGAAUUGCAUUCGAGACUGAAUAGCUAGGGUACGGUAGAGGGAAGCGGAAUUUCCGGUGUAGCGGUGAAAUGCGUAGAUAUCAGGAGGAACACCGAUGGCGAAGGCAGUUCUCUGGGCCGUAACUGACGCUGAGGAGCGAAAGCGUGGGGAGCGAACAGG